GGCAGAGUACACAUGAAGAGGCUAUACAAAACGUUUCAUGAAUUUAGCAUUUCAUUAAUAAUUAGUUAUGAAAUAAAUAAAUAUUUGUUGACGCGUUGAAAGAGCCUUUACACGUUUAUGGACCAAAGUGGCACAGGCCGACAAGUUCAUGGGGCACUGUUUUGCGUUUGCAAGUUCAUGGACCAAAGUGGCACAGGCGGACAAGUUCAGGGGUCACUUUUUCGGGUUUGCAAGUUCAUGGACCAAAGUGGCACAGGCUGACAAGUUAAAGGGCCACCAGUGUAAUUUACUCUUUUAUAUAAUAUAGUAGUAGCAUUUUAGUAAUAUAUUAAAAAUAUGAAUUUCUUUAAAAAAAUUCGCGUGGUAAGAUCUAGAGUAUCUUAAUAUGAGUAUAUAAACAUACUUAAACCGAUAAACAAGUACGAUUGUAUGAACGCAUACACAAUAUGGUUUAUUGAAGAUGAGAGUAACCGUACGUACGUGUAGAAAGAAAUUUUGCUAUAUAUUAUCUUGUUUAUUACAUGGUCAAACAUAGAGCUUUUUACCUGUAUGCCAUUAUAAAAGAUUGACCAAACCAGGAGGCUACUAAAAAGUUGUUUCGCACCGCUGUGACCAACUUCAUCUUCGACUAUACCCGUGUGCCAUUCCGUCUCAGUUCCGUUUGUUUUGUGACAUUCAAGAGAUCAGACACGUGGGUCCCAUGUAGAAAAAUAUCCUUCUUACAUCUGAGUCCAUAACCCCCACGCGGAGGCCGUGCUCGUGCUGCUUUCCGCGGGCGCUGUUCCUCCGGGGCGAGGGAGUCGACGACAUUCAGGUGAGUAUGUUACUUUUCUUUUUUUUCUUAUUCUUUCUUUAUUUAACUUUUCUUUUUCUUUUCUUUUCUUUUUUAUCUAUUUUUUUCUUUUCGUGUUUCAUGUCGCGGGAUCGGCUUUCUUUUGUUUUCCAUUUUUUUAUUGUUCUCAUUUCUUUAUUUUCCUCUUCUUUUAUAUUUUUAUUUUUAUUUACAUUUAUUUUUUGUUUUAAGUGAUUAUUAUUAUUAUUAUAUUAAUUUCCAUUUUAUGUUUCUUUUAUUUAUUUUUUUCUUUUCUUUUCUUUCCGUUUUAACAUUUUAUUUCUAAUCUUGAUUUUUUAAUUUUAUUCUUUUUUGUUUCGUGUGAUUUUUCAUUAUGCUAAGGAUUUUUAUUUUUAUUUUUUAUUUUUUCUCUUUCGUUUUUUUCGUGCAUUAUUCAUUUUUUAUUUUUUUUAUUUUAUGGUCUUGUUUAGUUCAUCCUGAAAACUAAAAAAAAUUCAAGAUUCUCUGUCAUAUCAAAUCUUGCGGCACAUGUAUGAAGCAUUAAAUAUAGAUGAAAAUAAAAACUAAUCACACAGUUUAACGGCUAAAACUUUUUUAGUUUAGGUAACAUCAGAUCUGUGACCUUUUGUUUUGCUGGUUUGGCGUAGCAAUACGAAAAAAACAAACAAAAAAAUUCAUGAUUAGACAGCAGGUGCCGGCGUGCCGCUGCUUUCCCAUGCAUCGGACGGGAUGUCUUGCCAAUUUCAGUGCCAGAGAUCAGGGCUUUGUUUAGUUCCCAACAAAUUUUGCAAAAUUUUUCAGAUUCUUCAUCACAUCAAAUUUUUAGACAUAUACAUAGAAUAUUAAAUAUAGACGAAAAUAAAAAAUAAUUACACAGUUUGGUCGGAAUUGACAAGACGAAUCUUUUGAACCUAGUUAGUCUAUGAUUGGAUAAUAUUUGUCAAAUACAAUCAAAAAUACUAUAGUGUUAAUUUUCCAAAAAAAUUUUGAAAACCGCAGAGGCUCACCUAACUUUUAGAGCACCCAGAUUAAGGCCUUAUUUAGUUCAAAAAAAUUUACAAAUUUUUUCAAAUUUUCCAUCAAAUCGAAUCUUUAGACGUAUUUAUGGAGCAUUAAAUAUACACGAAAAUUUGACACAUGGUAUUUUGACCAUACACCAUAUCCUGCAUUUACCAUGGUAGUAUCCAAAAUAGGCCGUUAGUGGCACACGGUAUUUUGAUUGGCUCGUUCAUAGCGGUAUCCAAAAUUGGCAGUCAGUGGCACUGGGGACAAGAAAAUUUUGUUGUCGAGACCAAGUAGCCCAGGGGCAUUCAAGUCUAUUGCCAGGCCACUUAACUGCCGUUAGGCUUCAAAAUGGACGGAAUGGCACACGGGUUUAGCCGAAGAUAAAGUUGGGUAUAACGGUGCGAAACAACUUUUUAGUGGCUUCCUAGUUUGGUCGAUUUUUCAUAAUGGCAUACAGGUAAAAAGCUCUCAAACAUAGCAUUAUGGUGUAAAAGUUUGUAAUUUAGAAAUAUAUAUAUCGUGUAUAUACGUGGACAAACAUAGCAUUUUGAUUAUUUAAUUUCAUAGUUGUAGAAGUUUAUAAUUUAUAAAUAUAUAUCUCUCAUACUUUAUGAAUUUUGAUUUUUUUUGUAAUAGCUUAUAUUUGAAUUUAUAUAUAGAUUUGAGAGAGGUGGGUAAUUUAGAUGCAGCGUGAGGGAGUUAUUAUCAAUUAUGAUUCACAAUGACAAAAUGGGUAAUUUAGAUACAAUUUUAGGGGGUUAUUUUAAAUUAUUUUUUUAGAAUGACAAGACAUGUAAUUUAUAUAUAAAUUUAGGGAUUAUUUUGAAUUACCUUUCGUAAUGGCAGAUGUGGAUAACUUAUAUGUAAAAUUAGGGGGUUAAUUUAAAUAUUUUUUUCAUAAUGGCAGAGGUGGGUAAUUUUUUUAUAAAUUACAAUAGAUUCAAUGGUUAUUAUUGGAGAUGAUGAUUAGAGUCUACCAAAUUAAAGGCUAGAUAUUUCUGAUUAUUGUGAGAAUUUUUAUGAUUUAUCUUUUUUCGUAGCGUGUUUGAGUUAACGUGGUUGCUGACUGUUACAGAUAUUUUACCGGGGUGAUCUCAUCUCCUCGGAUCCUCUUACGAGGAAUCCUAUCCAACUACGACGUCCCCCACGACUGCCUACGGGAUAUCACCCACGACUACGCACGUACCCGUGGAGACCGGUUCCACCUCCGUGAUAUCACCCACGACUCAUCGUGGGCACGAGUUUACUUGGGGCGAGAGUUUCCUCUCCCCCCGACUUGUAUAAAUACCCGUGAUCAAUGAAUAAACAAAGACCCCGAGUUCAUUCUAUUCCUCUCUGUUCUCGUACUCUUGAAUUCUACUCGUAACACGUUAUCAGCACAUCGCUCUCCCCUACCCCAG
rnacentral:lncRNA from 1 species